CAUGGCAUUAGAAGAACCUGAAAAGCCAAAAUGGGGAGGCCAAACCUCUGCCAAGCUCAAAGGCUCAAAAGAGCAAGAGGUUUGGCCUCUCCUGGCGGACUUCUGCAACAUGGACAAGUGGUUCCCCGGCCUCCACACUUGCUACCAAGUUGGCGGAGUUCCUGGCCAACCCGGUCUGGUUCGGUACUGCGAGCGCGGCACGGAUGAGACAACUAUCCUGUGGGCAAAAGAGAAGUUACUCAUGAUCGACCCAAUCAACCAGUGUAUGACCUACGAGAUUGUUGACAACAAUAUGGGUUUCGAGUCGUAUGUUGCAACAAUGCAAUUAGUCCCUAUCAACAACCAUGGCUGCAAGAUCGAGUGGUAGUUUGUUUGUGAUCAGAUUGAGGGCACGAGUUUGGAAGAUCUCCAAUCUUUCGUUGAGUCUUCACUCCAAGGGAUAGCAAAGAAGAUGGAGCUUGCUCUUCUAUCUAAUACUUAAGUAGUAGAAGAUAUCUUGUUCAUGUAAUAAUAAUGGUAACAAUUUUCAAUUUGAUUGAACAGUUACAGCGUU